CAUGCAAGUCGAGCGAGGUUUUCGGACCUAGCGGNCGGACGGGUGAGUAAUGNCGUAGGAAGCNUGCCCGAUWGAGGGGGGUAUCCCNAGUUGGAAAACGACCUGUUAAUACCGNCAUAAAUGUCUNACGGACCNAAAGUGNUGGGACCNUUCGNGGCCACAUGCUAUCUGGAUGCGCCCUCCGUGGGGAUUAAGCUARUUUGGUGGGGGUAAUGGCUCACCAAAGGGCGACGAUNCCCUANGCUGGUUUGAGAGGAUGAUCAGNCCACACUGGAAACUGAGGNCACGGUCCAGACUCCUACGGGAGGCAGCAGUGGGGAAUAUUGGACAAUGGGCGCAAGCCUGAUCCAGCCAUGCCGCGUGUUGUGAAGAAGGCCUUUCGGGUUGUAAAGCACUUUCAGUGGGGAGGAAGGGGUUGUAGUUAAUAGCUGCAACUUUUGACGUUACCCACAGAAGAAGCACCGGCUAACUCCGUGCCAGCAGCCGCGGUAAUACGGAGGGUGCAAGCGUUAAUCGGAAUUACUGGGCGUAAAGCGCACGCAGGCGGCUUUUUAAGUCGGAUGUGAAAGCCCCGGGCUCAACCUGGGAAUUGCAUCUGAUACUGGGAAGCUAGAGUAUGUGAGAGGGGGGUAGAAUUCCAAGUGUAGCGGUGAAAUGCGUAGAGAUUUGGAGGAAUACCAGUGGCGAAGGCGGCCCCCUGGCACAAUACUGACGCUCAGGUGCGAAAGCGUGGGGAGCAAACCAGGAUUAGAUACCCUGGUAGUCCACGCCGUAAACGAUGUCUUCUAGCUGUUCGCGGCCCUUGUGUUGUGAGUAGCGCAGCUAACGCAUUAAGUAGUCCGCCU
rnacentral:rRNA from 1 species